rnacentral:lncRNA from 1 species
UCAUUUAAUUUCUCUAUAUGUAGGAGCUCAUUCACACAACUUAAGGUAUAUUUUCUAAACCCUAGCUAAAUAUCCUAUUCUGACUCUCGCACUCUUUAUUUUCUUUUCAUCUGGUCGUUGACUUGAUUAUUGGAGUGCAAAUGGUUGUUGGACAUUUUUUUCGACUGGUGGCCUUUGCAUCCUAACGAGCGAGGUAUUUCGUGUGCAGGUGAUAUCCACAGGGAAGAGACAAGGUCGAGGAUCUGUUGGCGAUAUAUUUUGGGGUCAACAGAUUGGCGCCAUCUGUGGGAAUCGCUAUGUGAACCAUGUUUCUCACCACAUUCCAAAAAAGCCAUCGGGAAAUAUGGUUUCCAGACAUAUUUCUACUGAAAAAGAGUAAAGAUAGCGAUGGAAAAAAUGUGGUUUUUCUGAGCAGUUUCUCUACCAAAGAGAAGGAAAAAUGGCAAAGGGAUUUGUCAAAGAAAGAGGCUUUGUUUUGCUCUGUAUUCAGCUAUGUUCAUCCAUUUUUUGGACUCAACACCAAAUGAAAUACAAAACCAGCUACAACACGAUUGAACUAAGAAGAGUUGAGGACCGAACGAGUUUAAUUUUUUCUUAUAUUAUAGCAUCC